rnacentral:rRNA from 1 species
UACGUAGGGGGCAAGCGUUGUCCGGAUUUAUUGGGCGUAAAGAGCGUGUAGGCGGUUAUACAGGUCCGCUGUGAAAACUGGAGGCUUAACCUCCAGACGUCGGUGGAAACCGUAUAACUAGAGUCCGGAAGAGGAGAGUGGAAUUCCUGGUGUAGCGGUGAAAUGCGCAGAUAUCAGGAAGGAACACCAGUGGCGAAAGGCGGCUCUCGGCGGAACUGGACG